rnacentral:rRNA from 1 species
GUGAGUAAUGCCUAGGAAAUUGCCCUGAUGUGGGGGAUAACCAUUGGAAACGAUGGCUAAUACCGCAUGAUGCCUACGGGCCAAAGAGGGGGACCUUCGGGCCUCUCGCGUCAGGAUAUGCCUAGGUGGGAUUAGCUAGUUGGUGAGGUAAGGGCUCACCAAGGCGACGAUCCCUAGCUGGUCUGAGAGGAUGAUCAGCCACACUGGAACUGAGACACGGUCCAGACUCCUACGGGAGGCAGCAGUGGGGAAUAUUGCACAAUGGGCGCAAGCCUGAUGCAGCCAUGCCGCGUGUGUGAAGAAGGCCUUCGGGUUGUAAAGCACUUUCAGUCGUGAGGAAGGUGGUAGUGUUAAUAGCACUAUCAUUUGACGUUAGCGACAGAAGAAGCACCGGCUAACUCCGUGCCAGCAGCCGCGGUAAUACGGAGGGUGCGAGCGUUAAUCGGAAUUACUGGGCGUAAAGCGCAUG